rnacentral:lncRNA from 1 species
UUCCUUUUGUGUUCAUAAACCUUGUGUUUAAAUUUCAUUGAUUUCUAUUUACUUAUACUAAAGUUAUUGUGCGAAAACCAAGAAAAAUGCUUAUUUUGGCCCCUAAUUCCUAAACUGUUGGGACCAAAACUCCCAAAAUCAAUCCCAACCUUCCUUUUGUGUUCAUAAACCUUGUGCCAAAAUUUCAUAGAUUUCUAUUAACUUAAACUAAAGUUAUUGUGCGAAAAUCAAGAAUAAUGCUUAUUUGGGCCCUUUUUGGCCCCUAAUUCCUAAAAUGUUUGGACCAAAACUCCCAAAACCAAUCC